GAAUUGAACUACUGCAAUGAAGAAGAUAAAAUCCUUCUGCUCAACAACAUGUCAUAACAGCACAACUCACACAUGGUACUUCUUUCAGGGUUUUCUGGUGUAGCUCACUGAUGCUGAAAUGUGACCAAACACUGGUUGCAGGAUGCAGGAAUCCCCUUUCUGGACAAUUCUCUCAGUGUGGCAGGAGCUGUGCCUUGUGGAUGGACUAGCUGUAACACCACUCUGACUGCACAGUGCAAGAGCAACUCACUGAUCAGGAUCUGGUUCUGGCACAGAUAUGCUGUCUGAGAUUGUUCAAGCAUUCUCAUUACCUACUACAUGGUUAAGUCUGGGAUGUCACAUCUGCAAGGACACCCGUGCCCUCUCUUGGCAAGAUCUUGCAAGAUGGAAGCAGAAAGACUGAAGAAUGCCUCCAUGAGUAUCCAAAAUAGAAUAUUAAGAACUUACCCCAACAGCUGAGUUCCCUAAGGUAUCAGUGUUAUGUACACAUGCGUACAGAAGGUUUAGCAUCUAAAAAAGUAUCAGGAAACACUUCCAAAUCCAUUCC
rnacentral:lncRNA from 1 species